GCUCGGUCACGUGAGCGCCUGUGGAAUCAACUGUCGCUGGCCUGUUCAGUUCCCUGAGGUACAACAGCUGGCAGAAACUGUCAGAAACAAACUCGCACAAGUGUUGAGCAAGUGCAAGCAGGAUCCGGUCCGCUCGGCCCAGCCAGCCUGCACUGGCAAGGAGGAAAACAGCCCAUAAUCGGAUCAAAAGACUCAAGACAGGUUAUGGGCUGCCCAACAUUCAGCUCCUCGCCCCUUAUGAGGAAAGAAUCAUAACUGACUGACUGCUCCAAGCAGGUCCUGGAUUGUUCACAGAAACUGCGUUUGACUUAUUGUGCUGGGAUUACCUGAGGAAAAUCUUGAGUAAGGCCUGCUGAUAACUAUAACAAGCUUUUAUGUUUGUGCUAAACCACAAGACAAGACAACAGUAAUAUGAGCCUGUUAUCUCUAGCUGAGGGGACAAAAUGAAGAAAAGGCAAGUCAAUGCAAGGCAGUAAGCAUCCAGGUUGGGAACCCAGAAGAUUGGAGGAAAUGCUGAUGGGUGGGUUAUCAAACAACAUGCCAUCAUAUCCUGAAGUGCCUAAGACAGGACAUCUUUAUGGAAAACUGAAGAAGGAAAUGAAGUUAAAGCAUAUGGUCAAAAAAAUAGGCAGUAAUAUAACGUUUGAAUUGGUUUAACAGAAGACCAACACAGAUAUAAUGGUCUCCUUCUCUGUUCCAUACUUAGCACACAGCAAUAUAGACCCUGUAAUUUUUCUGAUCCAUAUAGUUAACUAACACCAUAUGGCUUUGCUAUAUCUAUUAAAUUAUGAAGUUGAAAUAUGUAUUCAGUGUUUGGCAUUAUAAUUGACUUAAAACCAGCAACUGAGAUAUAAUUUCUAUGAGACUUCAUAUUUCAGUUUGAAGGAGGUAACUGUAAUGUAUUGAUACUACAGACCAGCUUCCUGACAGAGAAAUUCGCACUGAGAGGACCCAGUUUCUGAUAAUUGAUAAUAUAACUAGAUAAUGGGGCAGCUGCUCUGUUAAGCUACUACUUAGUAUGCCUAUGCUAUUGAUUUCUAAAGAACAAUAGAGCACAGGAACAGGUCCUUCAGCCUUCCAAGCCUGUGUCGACACAUUUUGCCCUUCCACACUACAACUUCCUGUAAGUCCCUCUAUUCCUUUCCAAUUCAUGUAUUUUUCCAGGUACUUCUUGAAUGCUGCUACGGUGUCUGCUUCCACCACCUUGUCUGGCAGCAUGUUCCAGGCACCCACCACCCUCUGUGUGAAAAAUUUGCCUCUCACAUCUCUUUUAAACUUGCCUCCACCACUCCACCCCCGGACCUUGAACUUGUGCCCCCUCGUAAUUGAUUCAUACACCCUGUGAAAAACCUCAGACUUUCCACCCUACCUAUGUCAUUUACAAUCUUUAAACUUCUACCAGGCCACGUCUCAACGUCCCACUUUCCAGUGAAAACAAAACCAGUCUAUUCUUCAUUUCUUCAUUGCUAAAAUCCCCCAUACCAGGCAUCAUGCUGGUAAACCUUUUCUGUACCCUCUCCAAAGCAGUGUGGUGACCAGAGCUUUACGCAAUAUUCCAAGUGUGGCCUAACUAAUGUACUACAAAGCUACAGCAUUACUUGCCUAUCCUUAUAUUCUGUGCCCAUUCCAAUGAUGGCAAGCACGCCAUAACCCUUUUUACUACUUCAUCUACCUGCUCUGCCACCUUCAGCGAUCUGUGGACCAACACACCCAGAUCCCUCUGCAUAUCAGUAAUGAGAAGGGCUUAUAAUUUCCACCUGACCCUGACCUUUGUCACCUUCUAAAAUGUGUCAUCUCACAUGUGUACAGAUUAAGUUCCAUCUGUCAUUUUUCUGCCAUUGUCUCCAGCUGGUCUAUAUCCUGCCAUAUCCUCUGAUAAUUCUCACUAUCUGCUACUCCAUCAAUCUUUGUAUCAUCUGCAAACUUACUAAUUAGACCAGCUAUGUUUUCUUCUAAAUCAGUUAUGUAGAUCACAAACAGUGCUGAUCCCUGUGGAACACCACUAGUUACAACCCUUCAAUCCAAAAAGCAUCCUCCUAACACUACACUCUGUCUCCUAUGCCUAAGAUAGCCAUGAUGUGGAGGUAGUGGUAUUGGUCUGGUGUGUUUCAAAACCAUACAGAUGUUGGGACAAUGGAUAAAUGGACACUACGUAACAACUGCCAGACAGUGAUGUUCCCUCCCAGUGGGGGAACCCUUCAGUGCUCAAGGACAUUCGGCCUCAGAUCUUCAGGUAAACGUCCUCCAAGGCAGACUUCAGGAUACAUAACAACGCAGAGUCGCCGAGCAGAGGCUGAUUGCUGAGUUUGGUACCCAUGAGGAUGGGUUCAACUGGGAUCUUAGGUUCAUGUCGCACUUAAGGUGACCCCACCAAACUGCACCCAUGCACACACAUCCACAC